rnacentral:siRNA from 1 species
AUGAUUACGUGCUAGAUGUCCC